UACGGAGGGUGCAAGCGUUAUCCGGAUUCACUGGGUUUAAAGGGUGCGUAGGUGGGUUGAUAAGUCAGUGGUGAAAUCUCCGAGCUUAACUUGGAAACUGCCAUUGAUACUAUUAAUCUUGAAUAUUGUGGAGGUCAGCGGAAUAUGUCAUGUAGCGGUGAAAUGCUUAGAGAUGACAUAGAACACCAAUUGCGAAGGCAGCUGGCUACACAUAUAUUGACACUGAGGCACGAAAGCGUGGGGAUCAAACAGG
rnacentral:rRNA from 1 species